rnacentral:rRNA from 1 species
CUCUCUGAAGUGGCGAGAUGGUUGACCGUAGCAAAGGUGAAUACACACAAGUUCUUCAAUCCAGAUUCUUUCAAGGACACAAUGGGGUAUGCUUGGAACCUGACGCACAAACCAGAAAUUAGGGAGGAUAGCGAUGAUCUCUUCAUGAUCCAGUGCUUCUAUCUGGGAGAUUGGAACAAGAUCAUGCAACACGGACUGUGGAUUUUUCGUGGUUUGGUGGUAAUGAUUGAGGAGUAUGAUGGAAAUGGCAGACCGGGUUCAGUUACUCUAGAAUUUAUAACUGUAUGGACACAAAUUCAUGAUAUCCCAUAUCUCUACCGGUCCCAACGCAUAGGAGACCAGCUAGCACAGAGAAUUGGCUAGGUCAAGAGUGUAGAGUUGAACCUAGCUAGGGGUUAUGAAGGAAACGGUGUCCGAGUCAGGGCCAAGAUUGAAGUAUCAAAUCCUCUGACCCGGUUUACACGGCUGAAUGUCAAUGGCAAGGAGAUAAUUUUUCUGUUGGUAAAAUAUGAAAAACUUGGCUACUUAUGUCUGUGGCAUCCUAGGCCACAUAACAUGGAAGAGUGUGGAGAUGGAUUCCAUGGGACAUAA